UGCCCAGCAACUCCUAUCCCUACCUCCACGCGGUACCGGCCGGAAAGUAUGAGCAACCUUAGGGAAGAUCGGGUAACCAACCCCGGUGGGAACUUUGGUCGUAGGCUGACAGGGAAGG
rnacentral:ribozyme from 1 species